rnacentral:rRNA from 1 species
UGGGGAAUAUUGCGCAAUGGGGGGAACCCUGACGCAGCAACGCCGCGUGAGUGAAGAAGGCCUUCGGGUUGUAAAGCUCUUUCGGUUGGGAAGAAGUGGUAUUCGGUUAAUAAGCGAAUAUUUUGAUGGUACCAAAAGAAGAAGCACCGGCAAACUUCGUGCCAGCAGCCGCGGUAAUACGAAGGGUGCGAGCGUUGUUCGGAAUUACUGGGCGUAAAGGGUUCGUAGGCUGGAAUGCAAGUCAAGUGUGAAAUCCCCAGGCUUAACCUGGGACGUGCAUUUGAGACUGUGUUUCUUGAGUUUCGGAGAGGGUGGUGGAAUUGCUGGUGUAGGAGUGACAUCCGUAGAGAUCAGCAGGAACACCGGAGGCGAAGGCGACCACCUGGCCGGAUACUGACGCUGAGGAACGAAAGCGUGGGGAGCAAACAGG